CGUAUAUUAAAGUUGUCGCAGUUAAAAAGCUCGUAGUUGGAUUUGUGGUGUUUGGCUGAGUCCCAGCAUUGUCUGGGUGCUCGUGUCGAGUGCCAUCCUUGGGUGGAAGCAGUGUGGCAUUAGGUUGUCGUGCUGUGGAUGCCCAUCGUUUACUGUGAAAAAAUCAGCGCGUUCAAAGCAGGCUUAUGCCGUUGAAUGUAUUAGCAUGGAAUAAUAAGAUAGGACCUUGGUACUAUUUUGUUGGUUUGCGCACCGAGGUAAUGAUUAAUAGGGACAGUUGGGGG
rnacentral:rRNA from 1 species